rnacentral:rRNA from 1 species
UACAGAGGUGGCAAGCGUUGUUCGGAAUUACUGGGCGUAAAGGGCGCGUAGGCGGCCCACUAAGUCAGACGUGAAAUCCCCCGGCUUAACCUGGGAACUGCGUCUGGUACUGGAGGGCUUGAGUAUGGGAGAGGGAUGUAGAAUUCCAGGUGUAGCGGUGAAAUGCGUAGAUAUCUGGAGGAAUACCGGUGGCGAAGGCGGCAUCCUGGACCAUUACUGACGCUGAGGCGCGAAAGCUAGGGGAGCAAACGGG